rnacentral:rRNA from 1 species
AUUGAACGCUGGCGGCAGGCCUAACACAUGCAAGUCGAACGAGUGGCGGACGGGUGAGUAAUGUCUGGGAAACUGCCUGAUGGAGGGGGAUAACUACUGGAAACGGUAGCUAAUACCGCAUACCAUCGGAUGUGCCCAGAUGGGAUUAGCUAGUAGGUGGGGUAACGGCUCACCUAGGCGACGAUCCCUAGCUGUUCUGAGAGGAUGACCAGCCACACUGGAACUGAGAAACGGUGCAGAAUCCUACGGGAGGCAGCAGGGGGGAAGAUUGCACAAUGGGGGCAAGCCGGAUGCAGACAUGCGGCGUGUAUGAAGAAGGCGUUCGGGUUGUAAAGUACGUGAAGCGGGGAGGCGGUAGGAGAAGAAGAAGCACCGGCUAACUCCGUGCCAGCAGCCGCGGUAAUAG